UCUCCGUAGGUGAACCUGCGGAGGGAUCAUUACAGAGUUCAUGCCCUACCGGGUAGAUCUCCCACCCUAUGUUAUUAUUACUUUGUUGCCUUGGCGGGCCGUUAGGCUCCGGCCCGACUACCGGCCCCGGCUGGUAAGCGCCCGCCAGAGGACCCAAAACCCUGAAUAUUAGUGUCGUCUGAGUACUAUAUAAUAGUUAAAACUUUCAACAACGGAUCUCUUGGUUCUGGCAUCGAUGAAGGACGCAGC
rnacentral:misc_RNA from 1 species